rnacentral:rRNA from 1 species
GAUGAACGCUGGCGGCGUGCCUAAUACAUGCAAGUCGAGCGAAUGGAUUAAGAGCUUGCUCUUAUGAAGUUAGCGGCGGACGGGUGAGUAACACGUGGGUAACCUGCCCAUAAGACUGGGAUAACUCCGGGAAACCGGGGCUAAUACCGGAUAACAUUUUGAACCGCAUGGUUCGAAAUUGAAAGGCGGCUUCGGCUGUCACUUAUGGAUGGACCCGCGUCGCAUUAGCUAGUUGGUGAGGUAACGGCUCACCAAGGCAACGAUGCGUAGCCGACCUGGGAGGGCGAGCGGCCACACUGGGACUGGGAACCGGCCCAGACUCCGACGGGAGGCAGCAGUAGGGAAUCUUCCGCAAUGGACGAAAGUCUGACGGAGCAACGCCGCGUGAGUGAUGAAGGCUUUCGGGUCGUAAAACUCUGUUGUUAGGGAAGAACAAGUGCUAGUUGAAUAAGCUGGCACCUUAACGGUACCUAACCAGAAAGCCACGGCUAACUACGUGCCAGCAGCCGCAGUAA